UACGUAGGCAGCGAGCGUUGUUCGGAAUUACUGGGCGUAAAGAGUGUGUAGGCGGUGCUCUAAGUUCGGUGUGAAAUCUCCUGCUUAACUGGGAGGGUGCGCCGGAAACUGGGGUGCUCGAGCGUGGGAGAGGAAAGCGGAAUUCCUGGUGUAGCGGUGAAAUGCGUAGAUAUCAGGAGGAACACCUGUGGUGUAGACAGCUUUCUGGACCAUUGCUGACGCUGAGACACGAAAGCGUGGGGAGCGAACAGG
rnacentral:rRNA from 1 species